GGCAGCAGUGGGGAAUAUUGCACAAUGGGCGCAAGCCUGAUGCAGCCAUGCCGCGUGUAUGAAGAAGGCCUUCGGGUUGUAAAGUACUUUCAGUCGUGAGGAAGGCGUCGUCGUUAAUAGCGGCGUUGUUUGACGUUAGCGACAGAAGAAGCACCGGCUAACUCCGUGCCAGCAGCCGCGGUAAUACGGAGGGUGCGAGCGUUAAUCGGAAUUACUGGGCGUAAAGCGCAUGCAGGUGGUUUGUUAAGUCAGAUGUGAAAGCCCGGGGCUCAACCUCGGAAUAGCAUUUGAAACUGGCAGACUAGAGUACUGUAGAGGGGGGUAGAAUUUCAGGUGUAGCGGUGAAAUGCGUAGAGAUCUGAAGGAAUACCGGUGGCGAAGGCGGCCCCCUGGACAGAUACUGACACUCAGAUGCGAAAGCGUGGGGAGCAAACAGGAUUAGAUACCCUGGUAGUCCACGCCGUAGACGAUGUCUACUUGGAGGUUGUGGCCUUGAGCCGGGGCUUUCGGAGCUAACGCGUUAA
rnacentral:rRNA from 1 species